rnacentral:rRNA from 1 species
UCGACUCCUGCAAAAAGCAUAACCACCCUGAAC